AUUGAACGCUGGCGGCAGGCUUAACACAUGCAAGUCGAACGAGUGGUGGACGGGUGAGUAAUGCUUGGGCAACUGGCUGAUGGAGGGGGAUAACGACGGGCAACUGUCGCUAAUACCGCGUACCAUCGGCUGAUGCCAGGUGGGAUUAGUUAGUUGGUGGGGUCAUGGCCUACCAGGCCGACGAGCCCUAGCUGGUCUGAGAGGAUGACCAGCCACACUGGGACUGAGACACGGCCCCGACGCCUACGUGAGGCAGCAGUGGGGAAUAUUGCGCAAUGGGGGCAAGCCUGAAGCAGCCAUGCCGCGUGUAUGAAGAAGGCCUUCGGGUUGUAAAGUUCUUUCGGUGGCGAGGCGUUAAUCACAGAAGAAGCACCGGCUAACUCCGUGCCAGCAGCCGCGGUAAUUC
rnacentral:rRNA from 1 species